rnacentral:rRNA from 1 species
UACAGAGGGUGCAAGCGUUGUUCGGAAUUACUGGGCGUAAAGCGCGUGUAGGUGGCGAUGUAAGUCGGGUGUGAAAUCCCUCAGCUUAACUGAGGAAGUGCACUCGAUACUGUGUCGCUUGAGUGUUGGAGGGGAUGGCGGAAUUCCCGGUGUAGAGGUGAAAUUCGUAGAUAUCAGGAGGAACACCAAUGGCGAAGGCAGCACUCUGGGACGUGACUGACGCUGAGACGCGAAAGCGUGGGGAGCAAACAGG